CAGUCGCCACGGUAAAACGGAGGGUGCAAGCGUUAAUCGGAAUUACUGGGCGUAAAGCGUGCGUAGGCGGUUUCUUAAGUCUGCUGUGAAAUCCCCGGGCUCAACCUGGGAAUGGCAGUGGAUACUGGGAAGCUAGAGUGUGUCAGAGGAUGGUGGAAUUCCCGGUGUAGCGGUGAAAUGCGUAGAGAUCGGGAGGAACAUCAGUGGCGAAGGCGGCCAUCUGGGACAACACUGACGCUGAGGCACGAAAGCGUGGGGAGCAAACAGGAUUAGAUACCCGAGUAGUCCCUGUCUCUUAUAC
rnacentral:rRNA from 1 species